rnacentral:misc_RNA from 1 species
GGGAUUUUAGGAACAAAUUUGUCUGGGACAUGAGCAUCUUGGUAGAGAGAAACUUUACAUCCUUGUCUCUGUGAGUAAAAUGAAUAAGGUACUCCAGGAUAUUUUGGACUCCUGAUACCCCGGCCCCAGUUAGGGUCCUUGGUAACAUCAAAGUAUUGCAGCUUCACAUGGAUCUUAGAACCACCAUGAAUAGGGUUUUUUUCUUUAUCCAAUAUCUCAACCCAUCUAUCUAUCUCUUGCCCAUCUAGGAGCUCUUCAACUGGUACAUAUGCUCUUCCAAUUAAGGUUGCCCCAAUAGGAUUACGUUCCUUGAUUGUGAAUAUGACAUUUGAAGCCAGAUGUGCACAGUAAAUGAUAAAAGAUUCAUACCACCUAGGAUUGGUAUCUUCUUUUUCAAGAACUCUGGUCCUCCCAACUCUAGCCUUUUCCAGGUCAACAGUUGCAUAGAGUUUACUGCUUCCUUUGCCAAAACCAAGCGUCGCCUCAACGUUUUCCAUAAGCUUGUGAAAGAAGUUUAAUCCACCUCCACACUGAAGUUUAUCCACCUCAUAGAUCGUUGCAUAUAAAGUCCCGUGCAACAAUAUCUGCGCCAUUACUCACUUUGAAUUAAGAGAAAUUGUGCGAUCUGAGAAGGAGAGAGAAGAGGAAGGUGAAGCUGAAGCAGACCCUUAUGAUCCGAUCCGAUAUCUUGUCUCCGCGUGCAUUGUGUAUUAUUAUAUACACAAAAUAUAGA